AAGAACAGUAUUAAAGAACCGCUUUCUUUCUCUCUCUCUCUCUCUUCAGCGGCGUCCGAUAUUGCGUAUGCCUACAACGCGCGUACAAUAUCCCGCUCGCUCGGCAGAAUCGGCUCGCGUUUCUUCCGCGUGUCCGCCCACUGUCGGAAUUAUCGGCAGCGCGUUGACGCCUCACGAUUUAUUACCAUUAUUCGUUCUACACGUCGGUUAUAUGUAAGCAGAUAAGAGCGUCAUAAUGCGGGCGUGUUCGGUUUACGCUCGCUUAUUGCAAGCUCGCUCGCCUCAUUCAAACGCGCCUAAUCACGGAGGCCUCGAUUGCAUCGUCGUCCUCGGCUCUCUCUAAACCCGAGACCGUGCUAUCACGACGACAACGUAGCCCUGAGAGCGACCGCAGUCACUUUCCGGCAAGAAUUAUUGCGGCUUGCCUCGUCGUUCGCUUUUAUCGCGUCCAGCCGAUUCGCGCGCUUCCGGAAGAAGCCGCUCGGCGAUCUGCCGAUGCCGAAUUAGGCACGACUCGAUUCCGCGCGUUCGCACAGCGCUAAAAAUUACACCAUCGGGUUUUCAGGUCACAUACCGCGUUCUGCGUGUAUACGUGUGUGUGUGUGUGUGCGCGCCCGCGUCUCCAGUGGCGACGCGCACGGAGUAGCGAGGCCCGAAUUUUCGCAUUCGGCAACGCGGCAGUGGCACUGCGAUCGCGUUUCAAGCGGCCCUUAGGCGCAGUAUCGAUUGCCGCCACCUUGCUGCGAGGAUGAAACUGGGUCGAAGGCACCCUUCCUCCCUCCCCCCUCCUCCUCCGAGAGCAGUUGCCGCGCUCUCGCUCCCGCUUCUGUACUGUGUAUUGUUCUGAAAACGUCUCAACAAGGGCUAUAAGAAUAUGCAAUAAAAAGUAAGGGGUCACGUUUAAAAAAUUCAACUCGACCUGACCUUGACGGCGCCAGGAUCAAACUAAUAAGAUCAGGUUUCCAUACGCCCUCUAUAUAUAUAAUGUUAGGUACAAUGAAUGGGAACGCAGAAUCUGCGAAUCUCGAGUGCCGGAAAAGAAGGCAGCGGGAAAUUAACGAAUAUUCUAACUCGGAACUUUUCCCCGUGGCGUGGAGCAUCGUGGAAACGCAGAAACGCUCCGCAAUGAAAACCGAGUCUUACCCAGUAACCUAUUUUACUAUAUUCGAGUGCGCCGGAUCGAUGGCCCGUUUUGUCGGAAACGCGUUCGUUUUGUAACGUCUAUAUAUUCGCACACCCCCCACCUCUCUCUCUCUCUCUCUCCUCUUCCCCUCUCCCACAGAAUAUAAAAUAGGCGAUAUCCAAAGCGGGGUCUACAAUGAGAAUUUAAGGAACAUAAGAUUUAAAAAACCGACCAAUCACAAUAGAUCUUUCUUCUACAAUUCGACCGUGCGUUGGUCCAUUUUUUAAGCGCUUAAAACACCUACUGUAUAAACCGGGACUAACAUAAUUAAAUUUAACGAAUUUCCCGAAACCAGCUACAGGAACUUUCCGUACUUAUGAAUUAUACUCUAACCUUCAAAGCCCGCGGCACGAAAACCGAGUCACCGAGGGCAACCGCUACUUCUCAACAUCGGCCACGCGUAUAAGAUUCCGCGCGAAUCCACCCGCUCUCUCGGCCUCGUUUAAAGGGCGACGUUGUCAUCGCGAGACGGACAUCUCGGAUGGCGGUACAUCGCGAGCCCUUUCCCUUCGCCGGAUCGGCCGGACACGGGAAAAUCCGAGCGAGGAGAGAGAAAGAAGGGAAUCGCCGCUCGCAAUCUGCGUCGAGUCCGUCCGUCCGUCCGACUACGUUCGUGCACGACGCUCGUGACGAGGCGUUUCAAGGCUGAGCGC